GGCUCACCAAAGCCACGAUCCCUAGCUGUUUUAAGAGAAUGAUCACCCACACUGGAAUUUAAACACGGUCCAGACUCUUACGGGAAGCCAGCAGUGGGAAAUAUUGCACAAUGGGCGCAAGCUUGAUGCAGCCAUGCGGGGUGUGUGAAGAAGGCCUUAGGGUUGUAAAGCACUUUCAGCGAGGAGGAAAGGUUAUAGUUUAAUAGACUAUAGCUGUGACGUUACUCGCAGAAGAAGCACCGGCUAACCUUCGUGCCAGCAGCCGCGGUAAUACGAGGGGUGCAAGCGUUAAUCGGAAUUACUGGGCGUAAAGCGUACGCAGGCGGUUUGUUAAGCGAGAUGUGAAAGCCCCGGGCUCAACCUGGGAACUGCAUUUCGAACUGGCAGACUAGAGUAUGAUAGAGGGUGGUAGAAUUUCAGGUGUAGCGGUGAAAUGCGUAGAGAUCUGAAGGAAUACCGAUGGCGAAGGCAGCCACCUGGGUCAAUACUGACGCUCAUGUACGAAAGCGUGGGGAGCAAACGGGAUUAGAUACCCCGGUAGUCCACGCCGUAAACGAUGUCUACUAGGAGCUGGAAUCUUCGGAUGACUUUUCCAAAGCUAACGCUUUAAGUAGNCCGCCUGGUGAGUACGGCCGCAAGGUUAACACUCCUUUGAA
rnacentral:rRNA from 1 species